AGAGUUUGAUCAUGGCUCAGGACGAACGCUGGCGGCGCGCUUAACACAUGCAAGUCGAGCGAGAACCCUCCUUCGGGAGGGGGAAAGCGGCGAACGGGUGAGUAACACGUGGGUAAUCCACCCUCGGCACCGGGAUAGCCCGGGGAAACCCGGAUUAAUACCGGACGGCCCAAUCUCCCUGCGGGGAUGAUUGGGAAAGGUAGCUUCGGCCUCCGGCCGAGGACGAGCCCGCGGCGGAUUAGCUUGUUGGUGGGGUAACGGCCUACCAAGGCGACGAUCCGUAGCUGGUCUGAGAGGACGAUCAGCCACACUGGGACUGAGACACGGCCCAGACUCCUACGGGAGGCAGCAGUGGGGAAUCUUGCGCAAUGGGCGAAAGCCUGACGCAGCGACGCCGCGUGAGGGAAGAAGGCUUUCGGGUUGUAAACCUCUUUCAGAAGGGACGAAGCUCCUCGGGUUAAUAGCCCAGAGGGUGACGGUACCUUCAGAAGAAGCCCCGGCUAACUACGUGCUAGCAGCCGCGGUAAUAC
rnacentral:rRNA from 1 species